GCGUGGGUGAAGAAGGUCUUAGGAUUGUAAAGCCCUUUCAGCGGGGAAGAUGAUGACGGUACCCGCAGAAGAAGCCCCGGCUAACUCCGUGCCAGCAGCCGCGGUAAGACGGAGGGGGCUAGCGUUGUUCGGAAUUACUGGGCGUAAAGGGCGUGUAGGCGGAUCGGUCAGUCAGGGGUGAAAGCCCUGGGCUCAACCCAGGAAUUGCCUUUGAUACUGCCGAUCUAGAGUCCGGGAGAGGAUAGUGGAAUUCCCAGUGUAGAGGUGAAAUUCGU
rnacentral:rRNA from 1 species